CACAAUGUUAGGAGUUGCUACUAACCGUUGUUUGUUCCAUUUUCAAAUUUCAAACUGGAAUGACCGAAUCCGAACAUCACGAUUCUGUGCGAUUUCAUUGGAAGCGCUGGACAAGAAGAAUUGUCCAGUUUAAAUGGGGGUAGACCGCAGAGUGUAGUCGAUAAUAUUUUCUUGUACCCGGUUAGAUAUGUGAUUAUUAGAUAUAAAGUACCAACUGAAAAUAUAUGUAUAAUACAUUCUAUGUAUAAAAAUAUACAGUUAUUUAUUCUGUGACAUAAUUGAAUAUUGUAUGCAAAUGGUAUAGCCUGGAUAUGUAGAGUAUAUAAGCAGGUCAUUUGCUGUCAGUUGGCCAAUUGGCAGCAGGUUGGUGUAAUUGUAUGGGUGCAGUUGAUGUGCUGAUUCUUUUGAUUUGUACAAGUAUAUAAAUAUUGGUGUAACAGUUGGGGGCACUUUUGUAAAUAAAACACCCCACCUGAGUUGCACAAGUUUGAAUGUCAUCACCAAAAUUCACUAUAAAAUCCGUCCGUCCUCAUAACAAUCACCCACAACAUUUCUGAUGGACCACUGAUGGAACGUUCGGAAUGUGAACAACACACUUGCAGCGGACGUUAAGUUAUCAACAACCACAGCUGGCACAGAUACAGACACUACCGCUCUAUUUUGGAAAGCUUGUGACGGACAAAAUCUCUGGAAAGGGAUCAAGAGUUGUCUGCAGCCAUCAUUUGUGGAUGAAUAGUCUGACAAAAAUGGGAACAAAGCCUAGCGCCCGAGACGAAGGACAUCAUCUGCCUGGCCGGACACAGUGCCCUUGAUUACACUGCUAGGAGGGCAUUUGUACAACACAGCGGCAGAGUGGAAUGGAGAGCAUUCUGGGAAUACUCGGCUCCCUGGACUCAUUAUUGGAUAAUAGAUUUUCCAGGCAUCAUUGCGGGCGUCUCGUCGGCAGUCCCUGCACACACAUUGCCAGUGGCAGGGGCCAGAGUGACAGGGUCGAGGAGCCACAAAAUCGAAAAAAGCCAAGCUGCAACAAGAGAACUGGGCUGUCCAGCAGGAUCAGUUAUCUUGUGCUUUCCAUGGCCAACAUUGUUUGGACAUAUGGUGCUGUGUAAAUAAUGCCCUGCGCGCGCAUUGACUUUUAUGAUGUUGCUGCAUAACUACCCGAGUUUAUCAUUUCAUAUUAUUCAAAUUUUAUCACAAAUUGACAUUUGUUAACCCAUAACAAUCAACUAAUUUCCCCCUAUUAGGGAGUGUAUGUUCUUCAUAUUCAAUGGAGAUUAUUGCCAACUCAAAAUGGCAGCGAUGCCUUCAUUCAUGGGUAUGUUUCAUACUCAGAAUUUUCUAUUCAGUACAAGAGCUUCAUGAACUGGGAGUUCAUGGUGUCUGUCUCUGAACAGUUCUUGGCUUGAAGAGGGCUUAAUUAACAUGUACACAUGUGCUUAUGAGGAAGGAUCUAACAUCUUUUCCUCAGCCGUGGUAUCUCACUUUGGACACAAGUCAGAGACACUGUUUACACUAAACAGGGAGUCUGUUCUAAAUAUACUGCCCUUCUGCCAUAUGCAGUUUACCCAACCAUUUGUGUAUGGGCUCUGCUGUGUCUGUUCACAAGGUAGACACUUCAGGCCCCCUAACAGAAACGCUUGUCGACAGGGCUAGGAAGACACGGGGGGUGGGCUCUGUCCCCUUGCGUUAGCGGCUCACUGACAUGACGACAGGUGCAAGGGCAUCCCGGCCCAGCAGAAUUCACUCUCCAUUCCUGACACACAGUUGGCUGAACCUCACUGGCUCUCAGACGGGGGUCAUCUUAAGCCAGUCGAGCAGAAGAGUCGUGGAUUAAACAGCACCCCGUUCCCCAAAGAGGGGGAUGUUUCAGUUUGACGGGCUGUACUUUGCGGCCGAGUGGACGGCUCCCACGUCCGGCCGUAGCCCUCUCUCCUGGGUGUGUCAGCCUGUCAGUGCAGAUGGCUGUGAGGAGCAAGGAACUCUCCCAGAACUGAAUCGGAUGCAUGCCCCUGGCCCACCCGUGGGCCCCAAUAAGGUGUCAUCCGCAGUUCAAUGCAUCACGCAGAAGCGGUUUGGGAUUAAACCGACACAUUUGCGCCGUGAUAUUUGCCCCCUUUUUCCCCCAAGAGUUAACUGACUCACCACCGCAAACAGCCAGGUCCCUCCUCUCAGGAUUGUUGUCAUUCAGUUACCCCAGGGGAAGAAAGGAUGGCUCCUUUCUUAUUUGAUGAGAGAGCCGUGUGAAUCACACCUGUUCACCUAAAUCAAAAUAGUUUUUGAAACAGACACUGUGUAUGCAGUGAAGAUGACACUACGUCUCCUUUUUGUUUUGAAAAUUCAUUUUUCUUUGAAUUGGUAAUGUGAUUCCCGUUCUUUUUGAACUGGGUCCAAUUUGUGUUGCA